rnacentral:rRNA from 1 species
UACGUAGGCAGCGAGCGUUGUUCGGAGUUACUGGGCGUAAAGGGUGUGUAGGCGGUUCUUUAAGUUUGGUGUGAAAUCUCCCGGCUCAACCGGGAGGGUGCGCCGAAUACUGAGGGACUAGAGUAUGGGAUGGGAAGGUGGAAUUCCUGGUGUAGCGGUGAAAUGUGUAGAUAUCAGGAGGAACACCUGUGGUGUAGACGGCUUUCUGGACCAUAACUGACGCUGAGACACGAAAGCGUGGGUAGCAAACAGG